GACGAACGCUGGCGGCGUGCUUAACACAUGCAAGUCGAACGGAAAGGCCCUGCUUUUGUGGGGUGCUCGAGUGGCGAACGGUUGAGUAACACGUGAGUAACCUGCGCUUGACUUUGGGAUAACUUCAGGAAACUGGGGCUAAUACCAGCUAGUAGCUCCUGCUGCUUGUUGGUGGUUGGAAAGUUUCGGCGGUUGGGGAUGGACUCGCGGCUUAUCAGCUUGUUGGUGGGGUAGUGGCUUACCAAGGCAUGGACGGGUAGCCGGCCUGAGAGGGUGACAGGCCACAUUGGGACUGAGAAACGGCCCAGAGGCCUACGGGAGGCAGCAGUGGGGAAUAGUGCACAAUGGGCGGAAGCCGGAUGCAGCAACGCCGCGUGCGAGAGGACGGCCUUCGGGUUGUAAACCGCGUUCGCCUGUGACGAAGCGUGAGUGACGGUAAUGGGUAAAGAAGCACCGGCUAACUACGUG
rnacentral:rRNA from 1 species